rnacentral:rRNA from 1 species
CACGGGGGAGCAAGCGUUGUUCGGAAUCACUGGGCGUAAAGGGCGUGUAGGCGGUCAGGUAAGUGGGACGUGAAAUGCCUCGGCUCACCCGAGGAGCGGCGUCCCAUACUGCUUGGCUUGAGUACGGGAGAGGAUGUGGGAAUUCCUGGUGUAGCGGUGAAAUGCGUAGAUAUCAGGAGGAACACCGGUGGCGAAGGCGCACAUCUGGCCCGAUACUGACGCUGAGGCGCGAAAGCUAGGGGAGCAAACGGG